UAAUGGUGGGAACUCAAGGGAGACUGCCGGUGACAAACCGGAGGAAGGUGGGGAUGACGUCAAGUCAUCAUGGCCCUUACGAGUAGGGCUACACACGUGCUACAAUGGCAGAUACAAAGUGAAGCGAACUCGCGAGAGCCAGCGGACCACAUAAAGUCUGUCGUAGUCCGGAUUGGAGUCUGCAACUCGACUCCAUGAAGUCGGAAUCGCUAGUAAUCGUAGAUCAGAAUGCUACGGUGAAUACGUUCCCGGGCCUUGUACACACCGCCCGUCACACCAUGGGAGUGGGUUGCAAAAGAAGUAGGUAGCUUAACCUUCGGGAGGGCGCUUACCACUUUGUGAUUCAUGACUGGGGUGAAGUCGUAACAAGGUAACCGUAGGGGAACCUGCGGUUGGAUCACCU
rnacentral:rRNA from 1 species